rnacentral:rRNA from 1 species
UACGUAGGGUGCGAGCGUUAAUCGGAAUUACUGGGCGUAAAGCGUGCGCAGGCGGUGAUGUAAGACCGAUGUGAAAUCCCCGGGCUUAACCUGGGAACUGCAUUGGUGACUGCAUUGCUGGAGUAUGGCAGAGGGGGUGGAAUUCCACGUGUAGCAGUGAAAUGCGUAGAUAUGUGGAGGAACACCGAUGGCGAAGGCAGCCCCCUGGGUCAAGAUUGACGCUCAUGCACGAAAGCGUGGGGAGCAAACAGG